UGUAGAUUCCCGUGUCUUCUAGGACGACUUGGCUGAUUUCCAAGACGGAGCUGGUCGGCUCGGUUGUGAUGUCCAAUCGAUCAGCACCGGGCAGCAGAACACUUUCAUUUCGGUACCAGGUGAUUGUGGGUUGCGGCUCGCCUUGGAAUUGGCAAUGAAGGCGGACUUUCUUGCCCGUCCGGCUGCUCAGUGGUUGCAGUUUCUUGGUGAACGAGGGCGGUUGGCAUUUCGGAGUCGAACUGAUGGAAGCCUUCAUUUUCGGCAGUCUAAGUUUCUCUUCCACACUGGCAGAUUGAACCAAUUCCGUUUUGGGCACAGUUUUCGAAACUUUGGACGUCGUCAUGCUGACGGCCUGCUCCGCCAUUAUCUCCUGUUUCACUGUCUCCUCUUCUGUUUUACUUUGCGAGGUGAUUGCAGGCACGUCCGGUCGUUUCAACUGGACACUAGUGGCGGUUGAUGUCAACGUAGGGGUCAUCAGCUUCAGCUCUUCCUGUUCAAUUUGCAUCGACACGGAUUCCACAAUGUCAGGAAUGUACUUCCGUUGGGUUCGUUUCAAACGAGCCGUGGCGGAGGAAGGAGUCUCAUCAUCCGCUGGAGCAAUUUCAGGAACAGCAGUCACCGAGACGGGCUCCCUAGCUGGUUUCUCUUCGAUCGGUUGUUCGGCAGCGACGGAAGGAAGGCGAGGCUUUCUCCACGAAGGUGAGACGUCAAUUUUCGCUUCUACAGUGACAGGUAAAUCCGGCUCAAGUUCUUUGUCAUCCGGAAUCUCAAUUUCAGUUGUUUCCAUACGGUGCGUCGGUAUCAACGUUGGCCAAACUUCCUGCCGCGGGAUCUUCUUUAAUUGAAUCAUUUCAGGUUCCGGUGCGUCCUGUUUAGGCUUCUGAGGCGUACGCUUCAGUACGACCUGUUGAGGAAUUUGCACUUGUUCCGGUUGUUGUGGAGAGCGUUUAAGCGAUUUGCUGACCACAACUAGUUUCGGAGACUCAUCGGGUUCGGCAAUGGUUCUUUCAGUUGCAACAGAUUCAACCUCUUCGGGUGUGGUUAUUUCCGGAGUUGGUUUCAGUAGGAUCUCAGUGACGACUUUGGGUUCGAUCUCCUUGAGUGGGGGCGUGACGGGUUUGAAAAUCAUCGUGGCAUCUGAUGUCACGUCCGUCGUCUUUUGCGGAACCCGUGACAUAGACGUGGGAAUGUUUGGUUGCGUUUCAGGAGUUGCACUAGGAACUUCUCGUUGCGGUAUCUUCUUUAACUUGAUCGCCUCGGGUUGCGGCUCUUCCACCUUGGGCUUUUGCGGCGUACGCUUCAGCACGACUUGCUGUGGGCUCUGCACUAAUUCCGGUUCUCGAGGGGAGCGUCUAACUGAUUUGCUCGGUUGAGGAGUCUGUGGAAUUUCUUUGGAUUCUGAAGGAACUGUUUCAAACUUUGAAUCGAUCUUUACCUGAGUUUUGGGCGCUUCCUCAGGUAAGACUUUAGGAACUAUUUGUGAUUCUUGCUUAGGUACGGGAGUAACAGCUUGUUUUAAAGUGAUUUUCGUUUCAAUUAGAACGUCUUUUAUCUGUUCAGGUUCGGUUUCCGCAACGCAAGUUGGAAUGCUAAUUUUGGUAGUUUCACCCGGUUUGGAAACAGGGACUGAAACCAUUUUUUCUUUAACUUCAGGCAAAUGUGGAACGGCUGGAACGAUUUUCUUUCUCCAGGGCACUUCUCGUUUGGCUUCUAGUGCUUCCGGUGCGCUUUCCGGAAGAGUGACGCGUGUCGGUAUGGCAGGUUGGUCUUCAUCCUUUUCUGAUGGUGGCUGACUUUGACUUACUUGAUCGGGACUGCUUUUGGCAAGUGUAAGUGUCGAUUCUAUGGUCUGUUGAGGUAUUACGUCACGCUGGAUGCUUCUGACUUCCAUUUCGUCUGAUGGAAGUUGCUGUUCUUCCUCAUUCUGACGGCCAACAACGGGUUUUAAUCGGAUCUCAGCUCUUUCUGGAAUUUCUUUUGGUUUUCUUUCUGGCACUUUCUUCAGCUGAAUUCCGACGAAUUCAACAACUUCUGGUUGGGAUUUCUGUAGAGUUCGUUUCGGAACUACUUCAGCAAUUUUUACUUCCUCAUCUCGUCGAUAAACAGGCUUCAGGGUAAUGCUAGAUUCUUCUGUGUCUUUCGAUUUGUGUGGCACUCUUUUCAGCUGGAUAUUUUCCUGUACAGUUUCUUCCUGCUUUAUUUUCUGUGGUGUACGUUUGAGAACUACUUCUGGAAUUUUGUCAGCCUCGUCAAUAGUUUCUCUCUGUUUCUUGCCUGGGAUUGCUGAGGGCUCGGCUGCAGGCGAUGGCAAAUUGGCAUCGAUCGUAAUUGACUCUGACGGGUAUGCAGUAGAUUCCUUGGAAUCUUCAACUUUGGCAAGAAUAGGCUCCAAUGUCUUCUUCGUUCUCCAAGGAGUUACAAUGUUUUCUGGCUCUUGAUCAACUGGCGUGGGCUCCAUCGGCUCCUUCACUUCCGCAAUCGUCGUCUGCGAGAUGAUACUCUCCGGCUCAUGCUUCAAUUGCUCGCUAGGUGACACCACCAGCUCACCCUCCGUUGAAGUCGAUUUUGCAACAACAGAUUUAUGCAACGUCCCACCCGAAAUUGCGUCCUGCUCUUUCGCUACGGUGGCCAACUUUUGCGUGAGGAAAGCUUUGGCAGAUUGUUUUUUAUCAACUCCUUUAUGAACUGCUGGAACUUGGCUGAUUUCAACUGACGUGGGCGAUCCCUUUCGAAGCAUUUGCUUACCGGCCUUCCAUUCGAUAACAUCCAACAACUGACUGCUAGCAUCUCUUUUCUCCGGAGAAACAUCACGACUCCCGGAUGUCUUACGCAAUUGAACUGAUUUCCAGGGCACGCCCAGUUGAGGCUGACCUUCCGAUUGACACGGAGCGGCCGGCGAGCUAUCCCUCGAAGUCUUUUUCAGCAUUUGAACGCCAAUCUUCCAUGGAACAUUGGCCUCUUGCGGCACGUCUGGAAGAUCGGCCUUUGUAGGCGAACUUUCUCUCGAUGUCUUUUUCAAAAGUUGGACUCCGCUCUUCCAGGGAAUGUCGGCCGACGCCCUGGAGGCCAGGGGCGGUACCGUGUCGACCAAAGACGUCCGCCUAUUGGGCGAAGAUUUCCUCAGCCUUUCAGCACCGCCCUUCCAUGCAGGAGACGUUUUGACCGACGUUUCUUCGGCCUUUAGUUGUUGCGGUUUCUUCAACAGUUGCAAACCUUGCUUCCAGGCUGGUUCGUUUUUCUUAACAGAUAACUGGCCAGGACGCCUGUCUUCCGACCUGCUCCUUUUGCGCCACGGAGCCUCUUCUAUCAUAGGGAUCCUCUCCGUGGGCGGAGAACUGGAUUCUCUCCUUCUCCAAGGAGCAACUUGAUGGCCCACUUCUGACCGGCUAGUCCGUCUCUGCUCAUCGGUAGACGUUGUGGCAACGGAGACGUUAGCCGCAGUCUUAACGGAGAUGCUGGUCGUCUGGUCAUGGCUAGGCGUCUUUGGUCCUUUGUGAUGACCAACCCGUUGAAAUCGGGCCUGUUUCCCUGUACACGAGGUCGACAUGGAGAGAGAGGAGAGAACGCACUCUGUUGAUUACAAGUUUACAACCCGGUGCCUUGGCUUGUUAUCAUUAGAGUUGCCAGCUGUGAAACGUUGGCGGUACGACCCACUCCAUAGGUGAGGUCCUGUCGCCACGACCAUAUUUGAAGCUAAUGACGAGAGUGGAGGAUAGAAAGAGAUCUUGCGUGAGUCAGCGGUAAUGACUCACGCACCCUUGGAAGUAUCUAGAGUUCCAGAACAGCCAAACUAACUAACACAACAAAAACAAACGGAAAAAUUGUUUGUAGGGAGUACACGAAAGGAUCUCGAAUCGGCAGUUACCGACUAGACUCGGUCGCAGUCGGUCGUUCAAACAGAAACAUCUCAUUUUGGGGUUUUAACGUAUAGAUCUGAACCGGCCCCCAGAAGAACAAAUGAAAUUCUACAAGGUACAACCAGAAGAGUUUUGUGUCGUUGGUGUUCAUUCUCUCUCUCUCUCUUUUCAUUAAAUAAUUGUGUUUUUAAUGUGUGGUUAAUUAAAAGAAGACAUUUCUCAAUUUUUUUUCGUGUCACGUCUUUUUUUGUUUUGAUUUUGGUUGUUUUCUUUUUCAUGCAAAUCAAGGUCAUUGUAAAAAUAAAAAAAAAAAAAAAAACGAAGACAACAAAAUAAAAAAAAUUUCCAACAACAAUCCAAAUAGAUUUACUUGGUUUUUCCUGGCCAACAUGCUUUGUGCUCGUGUAUUUCGACGGUGUCAUGUGUGUGGAAUAAAAAAAAAAAUAAUAUAUUAACUACUAGAA